UGCGCCGAGAGGGCGCAGACUGACCCGUGUUUGCGGCGGUGCAGCAGGGAUGGCAACUGGCGGCUGGCUGGCGCGGCGACGCCGAGCAGUGGCAGUACAUGUUUCUUGCAGACUGGGAGGUCCACGUCUCGCUCUGGCUUCCGCGCGAGUGCUGCCUAACCACUCCCCACACGGCCCUGACCAUGCACCGAUUGUAUGCCCAGCUGGACACCAUACGAUGACGACCAGAGAACACCUCAAUCAGCGUAUACGAAGAAGCACCUCUGCUGCAUCACCGAGCCGCCUGCUGAGGUGGUGGUGGUGGCUGGUGUUUUUGUUGGUGUGGAGCUGCUGUGUGCCAGGAUGUGCUACACAGAGGAAGUCCAACUACUCGCCAUACAUAUCAUGGAAGAGUAACAAACCUUACAAAGGGCAAGUGAACUGUUCGGAUGACUCGUCAUUACGUGUGGAGAAGAGAUCUUGGUGUGUCUCAGAGAUUUACUGCAGAGCAUAUGGCUUCUCCUAUAAUGUGUAUUGGAUGAAAAGGCAGUGUGUUUCCAAAUGCCCUCCUAACCACACAGAAAAUAAUGGCUAUUGCAGUCUCACAGAGGUGUGUAGGACAGUAAGAAUCAGCAAUUUGACUAACAUGGAAGUUAGAGACAACCUAAUGAAUUGUAGGAUUAUAGAGGGAAGCAUCGAGAUUGUACUAAUAAAAGAUGUGUCAGAGGAUGAUUGGAAGCCGUGGAGAUUCCCUCACUUGCUGGAAAUCACUGACUUUCUCCUGGUAUAUCAAGUGGAGAGUCUGAAGAGUCUUGGCCAGCUGUUCCCUAACUUGACUGUAAUUCGGGGCAUGAAGCUGCUGUACCACUAUUCUCUUGUCAUCUACAACACCCAGCUGGAGAACAUUGGACUGUACAAUCUUCGCUCCAUCCUGCGUGGCAGUGUCAGGAUACAGAACAACAUAAACUUGUGUUAUGUCCACACUGUCAACUGGGAUGCCCUCAUGAACGCCUCCAACGACAAUGUGCUGACGAAUAAUAUUGAGCCGCUGUGCAAAAACUGCUGUCCCUCCUGUUCUGCCGUACAGUCCCAGGAGCAGCACUGCCAGUACUGCUGGAGCAGCAUCAAGAGUCAACAGAUCUGCAGACAGUGUGACCACGGCUGCACCGCAAGUGGCAAGUGUUGCCACCCACAGUGUGCUGGAGGCUGCCUGGCACCAGUAAAUAACCGCGCCUGCAUCGCUUGCCGUAACUUUAACACAGGAGACAGAUGUGUUGAGACGUGUGGUGACCUUCUUGAGUUCAAAGGUUACCGGUGUGUUACCAAAGAGUACUGCCAGAGGAAAGGUUUCUUUCUGUUCAAUGGAACGCAGUGUGUAACUGAAUGUCCAGGAGAGCACAACUCUACAGGGAAUGGAACAGAAGGAAUGAUGAUCUGCAGUGAAUGUUGCGGAAGGUCCUGUCAUGGGUUAUUGGUGAACACUGUGGCUCGGGCCCAGGAGCUGAGGGGCUGCACAUCUAUCACUGGCUCUCUUAUCAUUAGUAUCAGAUAUGGCAAGACAGUCACCAAGGAGCUGGAGUCGAGCCUUGGUGCAAUACAGCGGGUCACUCACUACAUUCGUAUCUUCAAAACCAGUCCCCUCAAGUCGCUCAGUUUCCUGCAGAGUCUGAAGGUGAUAGAAGGAAGGCAGCUGUACAAUGACAAGUAUGCUCUGUUUGUACAUGACAAUGCAAAUCUAGAAGACAUUUGGGACUUCAGUAAGAAUCAAGAACUGAACAUCACCAAGGGCAAGAUUUUCUUCCAUGGAAAUCCAAAGCUGUGUUACAACAACAAGAUUGAGACGCUGCUCAACCUGACUGGGCAAGAGGAAGACUACAGCAUGCGCUUCACCAAUGGAGACAAAGUAGCAUGCUCCAUCAUGAAGGCUGCCAUUACACUGCAGCCCUUGAGAAACAGAGGCCAGGUGCGGGUCCGCUGGAUUCCUGUGUCAACAGAUGAGGACGACCGCAAGAUCACCGGCUACUACAUCUACUACAAAGAAACAAAAGAGAAAAACAUUGGACACAUGGAUGGCCGAGAUGCCUGCAAUGAUGGAUGGAAAAGGGAACAUGUGGAAGCAGAACAUUCCACUGACAAAAUGGAGGAAACUCUAACUGGACUGAAGCCAGACCAUCGCUAUGCAGUGUACGUGGAGACUGACACGGUGGCUGAUGCUGACAUAGGGGCGCGCUCCAACAUCUCCUACAUCACCACCAUGCCAUAUAACCCAGGUUCCCCGCUGCACCUGAGAGUUGUUAACAAGGGAACCACACACAUGGAUGUGGCGUGGUCACCGCCAAGCACUCCACUUGAAAAGCUUUUUUAUUACAAAGUCAAGAUAACCCUCCAGAAGCCUGAUGAAGACACAUGCCAAGAUUUCUGUAAGAAAGAGAACCAUUCUUCAGGAAACAAUGAGGAAUCUGUAAAGGUGCUGUCAGAGAGUAUGAUCAAUAGGACAGAUCCUUCCUCUGCCACCACUGUACCACCACCCAAGUGCUGCCCGUGCCCAGCAGAGCCUGCGACUUUUGAACGGGAUGACAUUGACUUUAGAGGCAUACUUCAUAGUCACGUUUAUGUACAUCGUACACGUAUCAGCCGAGAAAAAAGAUCCAUUGUGUCAGCUGGUGAUAGAUCAGCAUCUCAUAAUUCAUUCAAUGACCCUUCAUGGUCAAGCCCUGCAGUGUACACAGAAUACCCGCAAAGGAAGCUAGCAGCUCAGAAUGUUACUUCAGUGAGUGAGACAGAUACCUUCAGCUACACUAAGGCAACCUACAUCCGGUUCACCAAUCUUUCUCACUACUCCCAAUACAAGAUUGAGGUCUCUGCCUGUCACAUGGAAGAGAAAACUUGUCCCAAAGAUAUGAAAAUACCAUGUCAGCUAUGCUCAAUAGAUCCAACCAUGAUUGAAGAUACCACUGCUAAGAAAGAUAAUGCCAACAAAGUGGUGGGUUUGAAGGUUGAAAACAUCACAUUUUCAUCUGCCAACGUGUCCUGGGUGCCUCCCAUAUCCCCUAAUGGCCCAGUGCUGAAGUACGUGGUAUUCAUCUCAAACGUGACUGAAGAUUUCAAACACUCCAUGUAUGUAUUGCAGCAUUGUGUUUCACCUUGUGGCUCCAAUAGAAGCUUAGACGAGUACUAUCCACUGGAAGACUUACGCCCAGGCACUAUGUACAGAGUGAAAGUUGAAGCACAUUCAAGAGCCCCCUUGGACAUGAAUGACACAAUAGCCACAGCUGACUUCACCACAAAGGCUGAAGACAGUGAAGACCAUGGCCAGAUGCUGCUGGUGGUGGCAGUGUUUCUGCUGCUGGCAGUGAUGUCUGGCAUCUUUGUGUUCAGGAGGGUUCAGCUGCCCAAGCCGUCUGUCGAUGAGGAUGUGGAUCCAGUUCCAGAUUGCAAUGUGUUGCCCAAACAGUAUAUAGUGGACCCAUCAACACUGUUGCUGAAAAGGGGGGACCCAUUGGGCUGGGGAAACUUUGGACUGGUUCUGAAAGGAGAACUGCAGAGGGGCUCAGAGUGGGUCCCUGUGGCAGUGAAGCUGGCCAUCAAGUUGACCUCACAGGAAGACAUGGUGUCAGAGGCCAGGCUGAUGCUAGAGCUGAAAUCAUUCCACAUUGUGCGCGCCUAUGGGGUGAUGAUCGAGUCCAACCAUACCUAUCUGGUGAUGGAAUAUAUGAGCAAUAGUGAUUUGCUCAAGUACCUCAGGCAGCAGAAGACUGUGCUGGAAACUGAAGUGAGUCAAGUGUGUGACAUGGCACUGCAGAUUGCUGAUGGCAUGGCAUAUUUGGCCAGUAAGAACUACAUGCACAGGGAUCUUGCUGCCCGCAAUUGCCUCUUGGACGAAAACAUGAAAAUUAAAAUAUCAGACUUUGGUAUGGCACAGAUAACAGAUGAGAACUAUUACCAUGUUUUACGCUCUCAGUUCUUCCCAGUGCGGUGGGUUGCUCCUGAGUGUUUCAACAAGCAGAGGUUCACCAUGCAGAGUGAUGUCUGGAGCUAUGGAAUUGUCCUCUGGGAAAUCCUUACUAAUGGCAGAAUACCCUAUGAAGAAUUGAAAAGCAAUGAGGAGGUGAUGAAGAAAGUGAGCAAUGGCCACACUCUAAAGGAGAGUGUGUGGCACCUCACCAACUACUGGCUUGCAAACUUGAUAUGCAGGUGUUGGGAAUCUGAGGGCCAUGACCGACCCUCCUUUCUAGAAAUAAUCAGCAUCCUGCAAAAACAUGCUUCACCACAAUUCAUGCAGUUGUUCAGAUCUAAGUCAUUUUACUACGAAUCAAGGGGCCAGAAGUGAGGAGCAGACCUCAUCUUGAACAUGAGGGAAGAGAGUGAAGGCUGUCCAAGCAUCACCUGUCUGCACUUCACCUGCCAGCCCUUGGCCAGAACCUGCUGCUCCAAUCCCCCUUCCCCUAGUUGUUGAAGCAAACACCAGGAGGAUCUGCUAGUACUCUCUUGAAAAGAAGAGUACUUGAAAUACUAAAGCAAAAUGUUUGUGGAAUCUGUGAUGAAAAAAGAAAUGUUCCUUUUUGGCUUUUCCAAUUGUAAUCUUAUAUCGUCUGCAUCAAACAGUUCACCACACGCUUUAUAUUCUAUAAAACAUUUACAACCACUACUUCUCAAAGGAAUUUCAGAAUGUGGUGGCAUGAAAAUGAAUGUCAUACUCAUUAUGGAAGCCAUAUGCCAAACAUCUUAGGCAAACUUGUCCUUACAUAUGUGUAAGUCUGUAUGUAAGCAAGCAUGUAGCCAUGACAUUCUCAUCUAGUGUUCAUCUCAGCUUCAAGACUGUUUGUAUGAUUGUUUUUGUAAUCAUUAUAUUAAAAUAAGAAGUUAGUAAAAGAAAUAUUUUCAGUUUGCUAUGAAGUAUGAACUUUCGAAGCUUAUUACAGGAAAGCUUUGCUAAUUCAAACAAACAGCUGGAAAAAGUGUGAAGCAGCAAUCUCUAAACAAUUUGAAUGAAGUCCAGAAUCAAUGAAAAUUUGUAUUCAUUCCAGCAUUCUAAAAAAAAAAGACUCAGAGUUAGCAAGGUUUGCUGUGUGAAUUCCAUGGUACAAAUACACACUGUCUUACAGUAUAAGCUUAUGUUAAGUUCUGAGUGAAGUCCAGCAAGCUGUACCUGUUAGCUGCCCAUCUAUCUGCGAACAGUGAAGCCAAGACAUGUACAUUUAUGGCUAUUUUGCAAAUAGAAACAUCAUGCUACAUGGCUGUCAUCACAUUGAUGACAUUGUGCAAACCGUACCAGAACUGGUACAUGGAAUAGGGAUGAGCUAACCGGGAAUUUUGUUACUGUUCAUCCCUCUGUUUUGGUGGAAUGUGAGUGUGAGUGUGAGUGUGAAAACUGUGAGAGUAUGAAAGUGCCUCUUAACUCAGCAUUAAUACUCUUACCUUGACAUGCCAUCUAUCCCCUCAUUAAUGUCUCCAUUACAUCACAAUUAACAUCAUAUAAAUGACAUGAAUUGCAAAGUACUAGCCUGAGUGUAUUGACGAGUGUCUGUGAGAGGAUGUGGAGUGCUGCCUCCACCCACACCCUCCCUGUCUGCUUCAUGUUUGCCUCCCAUUUCUCUCAAGUCUGAGGUGUAUCUGUGUCAUCAUCACUCCUGCGCUCAUGGAAGCCUUUGACAUUACAUCACACAAUGAACACUGCAACAUAACUUAAUUGUAACUGAAGAGUCUUGUCAGCUGGCAUGAGCUCAACAUUUAUACUGAGUCUACAGAGUGUGAUGCAGUGCUGGGGUCUCAUGCAGUGCUGGAAUCUCAUGCAUUGAUGAAAAUAAGGUGGUGCUGCACCAUGACCACUCCCUGGAAUUUAACAGUUAUUUACAGCUUCCUUUAACUGAACGUUUUCUCCUGUUUAGUAAAUUGUGUGCAGAGCAUAGUUUUGUAUAACAUGGACUUUACUAUUAUCAUAAACACUACUGAUGAUCAAGUCUAUGCCAUUCACCUAUUGUGGCUAUUCUCUGUUAAGUAUGUGUUCCAUCCACUUAACACUGUAUUAUAUUACUAUGACUGUGGCAAAUAUUGAUACUGAUAAUAAGUUUUCCAGUUAUCAAUCGCUACAAAUAAUAAUAAUUUUUCCAAUAUUCACAGCAUUAAGAUAACUAAAUCAAUGUGCAGUUUUAAAUGGCAGCUUGGAUCAUCAUCAUUGUCAUCAUCCCAAGCAUGUCAUAUGAAGCCAACAAUAAAGACAGUUAAAAACUUU
rnacentral:misc_RNA from 1 species